rnacentral:lncRNA from 1 species
UGGAGAUGGGUCGGGCUCGUGUGUGCCAUGGUUGAACUCAUGGAGACAAUUGGUUUUGAGUAUUUGUAUCUCUGCUAGUGCGUCAGAUACUUUAUGACGAUGAGCUCACUGGAGUCGUGUUGUAAGCGGCUGAUCGGCUGAUCGGUGGGGGGAUAAUGCGUAGUUGGUAAACAACUAGUUAGGCAUAAGGUUCGGGUUUUUCUUGCUGCCAUGUGAGCUGAGCGUGCCGCGUGGAAAGAGGGUAAGUCCAGCUCUUGAGGGCUUCUUCUGGUUACUUCCGUGCGCCCUUGUGAAAUAUUUCUUCCUUAUCAUGCAGUCGAUAAGAAAUGUAGUCAUAGCAGACGCGUGCCAUAUUUAAAUAUAAACCAAGUUACUGCGACUUCGGAGUCAAUGGAAAAAACAGGGAGGACAAACUAGAGACUAGAAGAUACCCAUUAGUAUUCAUUCAGUAUUCAUUCUGGCUGCCAUAUCUGGUAGUUAUUAUUAUUGUUUAAUAAUUUAAUCAAUCUCUAUGAGUACCCAUAAUACUCUUCUGCUCUACGACUACAGGGUAUCAGUCGUAAAAGCGGUUUUGGGCAGCAGCCAGCCGCCUCUCCCUCUCUCUCUCUCUCUUUCCACUUUGCUCCAUGCGAAUAUCUGCUGUCUCAUGUUGGUCCAGUUUGUAUUUGCUUUUAAUUUCACAAUCAAAACAGAAAUAAUAAUAACAUAGUCCCCACCCCACAAUCACAGCCUUAUCUCUCUCACGCCACUCUCUCUCUCGCUCUCUUUGUGUAUAUCUCUCACUCACACUCUCCUUUUCUCUCUCUAUCUCUCUCUCUAGGUCUUGCAGUGAGAAUUUCAUCAGCUGGCAGAAGGAGCGGCGCAGCAAAAGCGAAACAAUAAGUGCCUGCCGUCUUGUUGUUGUUUAUUUGCACAGCGGUCGCCCCAAUAAAAAUGCAAUUUUUAUGGUUAGCAAAAUAGAGCGUGGCCACUGCAGCAGCACUGUACUGCACGUUGCAGAGAGAACGAACCAGCACCCACUACCGCUCCAGUGGCAUCAUCGUGCUCUGAUGUAAUACAGAGCAAAAGUGAAGCGGCAAUUGGCCAUUGCAACAAAGGAAAAGAGAUUAUACAACUUGUAUUAUUGCUGCUGGCUGGCAGGGGAACCGUUAACUAGGACAGAAAGCGCCACAAAAACGGAGGCAGCGGCAGCAAAAACGCUGCUAAAACGGAGGCAGCAUCGCUGUGAUAAAGACCGGCUGGCAACAGGCAAAGGCAAAGGAACUUGCAGCCAAGCAACAACAUUCAAAGUCGGAGCGUGGGAAUUGCAAAUCACAGUUAGCAG